rnacentral:rRNA from 1 species
CCUACGGGAGGCAGCAGUGGGGGAUAUUGGACAAUGGGGGGAACCCUGAUCCAGCGACGCCGCGUGAGUGAAGAAGUAUCUCGGUAUGUAAAGCUCUAUCAGCAGGGAAGUAGAAAUGACGGUACCUGAGUAAGAAGCUCCGGCUAACUACGUGCCAGCAGCCGCGGUAGUACGUAGGGUGCAAGCGUUAUCCGGAAUUACUGGGUUUAAAGGGAGCGUAGACGGUGAUGUAAGUCUGGAGUGAAAGGAGGGGGCUCAACCCACGGAUUGCUCUUGAAACUAUGUGACUUGAGUGCAGGAGAGGUGAGCGGAAUUCGUGGUGUAGCGGUGAAAUGCGUAGAUAUUAGGAAGAACACCAGUGGCGAAGGCGGCUUACUGAACUGUAACUGACGUUGAGGCUCGAAAGCGUGGGGAGCAAACAGGAUUAGAUACCCUUGUAGUC